UCCAGAAACACAUGCAUCUUCAUAUGAGUUAACUUGUAAUAUGAGUUACAAGUUCAAAAAUAUAAAAAGAAAUGGUUAUUUGGCCACAAAGAUAUCAAUGGGACAUACUCUAAUCUAUGAUAACUUUGUUUCUACGUUCCAUUUUGUUACAUAAACGAAAGAAGAAAACAAGAAUCAUGGUAAUAUUCCGUCAGAACAGAGAAAGGAACAAGAUUUUAUCAACAGCUAAGAUUAAUUUUAAUUUGGAGAGCUAACUGUAGUACAAGGACGGGCACUUCGUUAAAUAUAAACAUCUUCUUCAGGUUUGACUUUGUCUAAUAACCUUGAUUCCACUAGCAUAUGUGCAUAGGUACGUUGUGCUUCUUUCAGCUCCUUCCGAAGCUUAUUAACCUUUGAAUGAAGUUCUUCCUCUCUCUUCUCACAUUCACAGCACUGUGCGCGGAGCUUUUCAUUCUCUUGAAUGAGAUGGGCAGCCUCUUGAUCUUGUGAGCCACUUGAAGUGAGAGUCAGAAUUUCUUGACUUCGCUCACCACCAGUUAAUCAACUAUUAGUCCAGCUGUCCGUUUCAAGUUUUCAUGUUCUAUUGGGUGAUCAACUGCUUUCCUUUUUGAAGCUCCUUGUUUAGAGUUAUUUUGAAAGACUGGUGUUACAGUUCCCCGUACUGUAAUGUUUGAACCAACCGCACCAGAUGAGUUUCCCAAGACAAUAGGUUUAUAUGACCCAUGUUGUUGUCUAGAUUCAGAUGAAGCCUGAGGAGUUAUCGGACCCUGAGGUCUUUUCUUUGGAAAGUAACCGAGGAGCCCGCAGUGAUAAUCCCAGUAUUCCCAUGUCAUCUCCUUUAAUCGUACUUCAAGCUUUUGAAAAAGAGGGGUUUUCUCG
rnacentral:misc_RNA from 1 species